rnacentral:rRNA from 1 species
CCUACGGGAGGCAGCAGUGGGGAAUUUUGGACAAUGGGCGCAAGCCUGAUCCAGCCAUGCCGCGUGCAGGAUGAAGGCCUUCGGGUUGUAAACUGCUUUUGUACGGAACGAAAAGACUCUUCCUAAUACGAGGGGUCCAUGACGGUACCGUAAGAAUAAGCACCGGCUAACUACGUGCCAGCAGCCGCGGUAAUACGUAGGGUGCAAGCGUUAAUCGGAAUUACUGGGCGUAAAGCGUGCGCAGGCGGUAAUGUAAGACAGAUGUGAAAUCCCCGGGCUCAACCUGGGAACUGCAUUUGUGACUGCAUUGCUGGAGUGCGGCAGAGGGGGGAUGGAAUUCCGCGUGUAGCAGUGAAAUGCGUAGAUAUGCGGAGGAACACCGAUGGCGAAGGCAAUCCCCUGGGCCUGCACUGACGCUCAUGCACGAAACGACGGUGGGGAGGACGAACAGGAGUAGUAUACCUACGGUAGUCCGACCGACCCGUAACCGACUAGUCACUGGUUGGUUGGGUUCGUUC